rnacentral:rRNA from 1 species
UUACCUUUCCCCUUCCCUUUCCGUAGUAGUAGGACCGGUACCGUUUAAGUCCGACCUUAAAUUUUUAAGGUUUUGGGUUUGUUCGGGGAACGGGUUUAAGGUACGAGUUAGUUUACUUAGAAAAAUUAGAGUGUUUAAAGCAAGCUAACGCUUGAAUACAUUAGCAUGGAAUAAUGAAAUAGGACGUUCGAUCCUAUUUUGUUGGUUUCUAGGAUUGACGUAAUGAUUAAUAGGGAUAGUUGGGGGCAUUAGUAUUCAAUUGUCAGAGGUGAAAUUCUUGGAUUUAUUGAAGACUAACUACUGCGAAAGCAUUUGCCAAGGAUGUUUUCAUUAAUCAAGAACGAAAGUUAGGGGAUCGAAGACGAUCAGAUACCGUCGUAGUCUUAACCAUAAACUAUGCCGACUAGGGAUCGGAUGAUGUUAAUUUUUAAUGACUC